AGUGAACGCUGGCGGCAGGCCUAACACAUGCAAGUCGAGCGGCAGCGGGUCCUUCGGGAUGCCGGCGAGGGGCAGACGGGUGAGGAAUACAUCGGAAUCUGCCCUGUCGUGGGGGAUAACCUAGGGAAACUUAGGCUAAUACCGCAUACGACCUACGGGUGAAAGCGGGGGAUCGCAAGACCUCGCGCGACAGGAUGAGCCGAUGUCCGAUUAGCUAGUUGGCGGGGUAAAGGCCCACCAAGGCGACGAUCGGUAGCUGGUCUGAGAGGAUGAUCAGCCACACUGGGACUGAGACACGGCCCAGACUCCUACGGGAGGCAGCAGUGGGGAAUAUUGGACAAUGGGCGCAAGCCUGAUCCAGCCAUGCCGCGUGGGUGAAGAAGGCCUUCGGGUUGUAAAGCCCUUUUGUCCGGGAAGAAAUCGUCUGGGCUAAUACCCCGGGCGGAUGACGGUACCGGAAGAAUAAGCACCGGCUAACUUCGUG
rnacentral:rRNA from 1 species